UACAGAGGGUGCGAGCGUUAAUCGGAAUUACUGGGCGUAAAGCGUGCGUAGACGGUAGCGUAAGUCGGAUGUGAAAGCCCCGGGCUCAACCUGGGAAUUGCAUUCGAGACUGCGCUGCUAGGGUGCGGAAGAGGGAAGCGGAAUUCCCGGUGUAGUGGUGAAAUGCGUAGAUAUCGGGAGGAACACCGGUGGCGAAGGCGGCGAUCUGGGUAGAUACUGACGCUGAGGUGCGAAAGCGUGGGGAGCAAACAGG
rnacentral:rRNA from 1 species